rnacentral:rRNA from 1 species
GACGAACGCUGGCGGCGUGCUUAACACAUGCAAGUCGAACGGACAGGCCCCGCUUUUGUGGGUUGCUCGAGUGGCGAACGGGUGAGUAACACGUGAGUAACCUGCCCUUGACUUUGGGAUAACUUCAGGAAAAUGGGGCUCAUACCGGAUAGGAGCUCCUGCUGCAUGGUGGGGGUUGGAAAGUUUCGGCGGUUGGGGAUGGACUCGCGGCUUACCAGCUUGGUGGUGGGGUAGUGGCUUACCAAGGCUAUGACGGGUAGCCGGCCUGAGAGGGUGACCGGCGACAUGGGGACUAAGGUACGGCCCAGACUCCUACGGGAGGCAGCAGGGGGGAAUAUUGCAGAAUGGGCGGAAGCCAGAGGCAGCAACGCCGCGUGCGGGAUGACGGCCUUCGGGUUGUAAACCGCUUUCGCCUGUGACGAAGCGUGAGUGACGGUAAUGGGUAAAGAAGCACCGGCUAACUACGUG